AGACUCACCUGGCAGGGGAGGUACAGUGAUCACAAAGGUGUUUUUCUCAGGUGAGGCUGAUCCCUUUCACUCAGGUUGCGUUGACCCCCGCGAUUUCCCCAAAUGUAGAUAAUUUGUGGUGGGGGACUGCAUUUGCAUUCUCCCC
rnacentral:snRNA from 1 species